GCGCCGGGCGGGCGGCAAGCUGAGAGUAGGCUAGUGUUACUGCUCGGUUUCUAGCCCUGGGGACUUGCCAGCCUUAGCGUGACUCAGCCGCCCGCUGCGUCUGUCUACGCGCCUCUUCCCGUGACACUUUUACUUUAGACUCCGGUGUCGUCCACUUCCCUCCUUCUCGCUUCCGGGGCGUUAGCUGAGCAUACUCAGGCCCCAGCCUGCUCGCGCUGGUUGUGUGCUGGGAACAGAGUUCCAGUCUAUACACUGGCGACCGGGGGGAGGGAGAUCCUUUGGAGCACUCGGAAGCGGGUUCUGACCAGCCUGUGGGGUUCCCUAGAGGAGGCAUGAGCUGACUCUGAAGGGCAAACUGCAGUUGGCCUGGCAACUCUGGAGAAGAGCCACCCAGCAUAGGAGACGGCAGUGCAGAGGCACCCAGGGCCUGAUGCUGGGAGCUCAGAGCAGCUGGGGGUGUGUAUGCCUGAAGAAUGGUCGUAGAUGACACUGGAGGGUGGAUUAGAUCAAGGAAAGCCAUUUGCAGUGCGGGAGAGUUAGUGCCUACCCCAGAGUCUGGAGCCACCGUAUGUGAUCAGGUUCACAUUUUGGAAAGAUCACUGUGGGAACAAUAUAGAAAGAAGAUGAUUUAGGAUGAGGUUAGAUUUGGGAUCCAGAGAUCAGUUAACUGUCCCCACAGUUAGCCAUAUUAAAGUGGUUAAGGAAAUUGACUGCCAAUCUUUAGUUUCUUUAUCAAUAAAAUGAAUAAUUCCUAUGAGGUCUUUUUGUUGUAAGCAUUGAGGUGUAACAAGAGGCAGAAUUGGAAUAGUGUUAAAAAGUGUAGGCUCUGCAACUGCACUGGGUUUGAAUCUGUGACCUUGACCAGUUACUUGAUUUUCCAAAGCCAAAAUGUCCUCAUCCUUAAAUUUUUUUUUUUUUUUUUUUGAGUCUUGCUCUGUCACCCAGGCUGGAGUGCAGUGGCGUGAUUUUAGCUCAUUACACCCUCCACCUCCCGGGUUCAAGCAAUUCUCCUACCUCAGCCUCCUGAGUAGCUGGGAUUACAGGCAACCGCCACCACACCCGGCUAAUUUUUGUAUUUUUAGUAGAGAUGGGGUUCCACAAUGUUGGCCAGGCUGGUCUUGAACUCCUGACCUCAGGUGAUCUGCCCGCCUCAGCCUCCCAAAGUGCUGGGAUUACAGAUGUGAGCCACCACACCCAGCCUAAAUGUAGUUAUUCAUAGAUAGUGAAUCCAACAAUGGACUUGUAAAGAACACAAAUAAUAGAUAACCCAAUAUAAAAGGUGAAAGAUUUUAACAGACACUUCGUCAAAAAAGCCAGUAAGCACAUGAAACAGUGCUCAACAUUAUUCAUCAUUAGGGAAAUAUAAAUUAAAGUCAGAAUGAAAUACCAACUAGAAUGGCUAAAAUUAAAAAAUGUAACAUCAAGUGUUGAGAAGGAUGUGAAGAAACUGGAACUCAUACAUUGCUAGUAAGGAUAUAAAAUGGUAUAAAUGCUUUGGGAAACAGUUUGGCAGUUUCUUAUAUACCUUUCAUAAAAUAAGACCCAACAUUUCCACUUUUUUUUUUUUUUUGAGCAGUCUUGCUCUGUUGCCCAGGUUGGGGUGCAGUGGAACAAUCUUGGCUCACUGCAACCUCUGCCUCCUGGGUUCAAGCAAUUCUCCUGCUUCAGCCUCCUAAGUAGCUGGGACUAUAGCCAUACCCAGCUCAUUUUUUGUAUUUUAGUAGAGAUAGGGUUUCACCGUGUUGCUCAGGCUGGUCUCGAACACCUGAGCUCAGGCAAUCCACCCACCUCGGCCUCCCAAAGUGCUAGGAUUACAGGCGUGACCCACCGCAGCCAGCCUCCACUUCUAGGUAUUUACCCGAGGGAAGUGAAAGUAUGAUCACACAGUUUGUAUGACCCCAUUUAUAUAAAAGUAUAUGAAAGAGGAAGGUGUGUGUGUAUGUGUCUGUGUGUGUGUGUGUCAGAGAGCAAAUCAGUAGUUGCCUGGGCCUGAAUAUGGAGGGACAGAUUGGAAAGGGUAAUACAAGGAAACUUUUAAGGGUGAUGUAUUCUGUGUCUUGUUUAUGGUAGUGAUUUCACAGAUUUGCCAAAACUCAUUCAAAUGUAGUUUAUUAUAGAGAAAUUAGACCCCAAUAAAGUAAUUAUUAUUAUUUUGAAAAGACACGAAUCAAAGAGGAUGUUGGGGACAACUGCACUAAAAAAAAAAAUACCUUGUAGGGUUGUUGGGCAGUAAUCCUUGAAACAUGUUUAGCGUAAUGCCUGAAUUACAGUGAGUGCUCAAUAAAUGUGAAUUCGGGUGCAUCCACAUGGGUCAGUAGUAAUUAGGUGUGGGAGCUGCCAGCAGGUAGGGUGGAUUUGACAUCAGUUUCCUAGAAGAAGGAGAGUUCAGAGGAAGAUACCAAAUUUUGGGUCGUGAACAAUUCAAUCCUUGGAGAGGAUUGAGACAUUAAAAUCCCUAAGGAAGGAAUGCAAUGUCAGGCAUCACUUGACCUUUGUGAAAGAUGUCCACCCAGCUCCUUCUCUGGUUUCUUGCUAACCAACUUUCUGAUUUCUCCUCUCUAAUGCAACUUCCCUACAUAGAGGACACCAACAUUCAGUUCAUGAAAAGGACUAUCUCUCUGUUCAUUUCUUUUUUUUUUUGAGACAGAGUCUCACUCUGUCACCAGGCUGGAGUGCAGUGGCAUGAUCUCAGCUUACUGCAACCUCUGUCUCCUGGGUUCAACGGAUUCUCCUGCCUCAGCCUCCUGAGUAGCUGGAACUACAGGCAUGUGACCACCGUGCCCAGCUAAUUUUUGUAGUUUUAGUAGAGACAGGGUUUCACCAUGUUGGCCAGGAUGGUCUUGAUCUCUUGACCUCGUGAUCCGCCCGCCUUGGCCUCCCAAAGUGCUGGGAUUAUAGGCAUGAGCCACUGCGCCCAGCCCCCUCUGUUCAUUUCUUUCUUUCUUUCUUUUUUUUUUUUUUGAGAGUCUUGCUCUGUCGCUCAGGCUGGAGUGCAGUGGCGUGAUCUUGGCUCAUUGCAAGCCACGUUUCCCGGGUUCAUGCCAUUCUCUUGCCUCAGCCUUCCGAGUAGGUGGGACUGCAGGCGCCUGCCACCACGCCCGGCUAAUUUUUUAUGUUUUUAGUAGAGAUGGGGUUUCACUGUGUUAGCCAGGAUGGUCUAGAUCUCCUGACCUUGUGAUCUGCCUGCCUCGGCCUCCCAAAGUGCUGGGAUUACAGGCAUGAGCCACCGCGCCCGGACCCCUCUGUUCAUUUCUUAUCAGUUUGAUUUUAACCAGUCCAAUUCUAUUUAAUGAGUCAGAUAUAUUGCUUGUUUCUUUUGAAAUUUCAUUCUUUGCUUUAAGCCUAGGAUCUUCUCCCCUUUCAGAUAUUCGGUAGUCAUGUUUUUGAACACUUUUGGAAGCUUUUUAUGGUUUUAUUUUUUAUAUAUGUGAUUUUACUAUAUAUUUACAUUUUACGUUUAACUAUCUGAAAUAUAUUUUGGUGUAUAGUAUGAGUGAAGAAUUUAAAAAAUUUCCUCCAAAUGACUAACCAAUUGUUCCAGUACUAUUUAUUGAAUAAUCCUUUAGGGAUGGAUCUCAACAGGUGGAGACAGGGGUAGAUUAUUUUGGGCAGAGGGAACAUAUGUCCCCAGAUGGUGAGAAGUUCAGUUUGGAUAGAGCCCAGCAUCUAUGAGGAGUAAGUGGUGAACAAUGGAUCUGGAAGGUAGUUAGACUGGGUCCUACUGGGGAGGCCUUUGACUUGUAGGCAGGGAGCUUGGGCUAGAUUGAAGAGUCAAGGGGGAGCCACUUGACUGUGCGAACAGAAGUGUAACACCUCGAGCUCUGUGCUUCAAGGAAGUGAUCCAUAGUAGAGGAUAGCAUGGGUGGGUUAGGGUGGGACCUAGGAUGGGCUCUUAGUUGGAGGCAAUGACUGUGUUGCAGACAAGAGCCAGCAAGGAUUGGGUGCAGCUGGUGGCAGUGCUGGUGGGAGGGGAGGGAGCAUGUGGGGCCUUUGGCUCAGGAUUCGAAAACUAAAUGUGGGGCAUGAGAGAAGGAGAGGAGGAUGAUUUUUUUUUCUUUUUUUUCGGAGACAAGGUCUUGUUAUGUUGCCCAGGCUUGUCUUGAACUUUUAGGCUCAAGUAAUCCUCCUACCUCAGCUUCCCAAGUAGCUGGGAUUACAGGCACACACCACUGCACCCAGUUGGAGGAUUAUUAUUAUUAUUUAGACAGAGUCUUGCUGUGUCGCCCAGGCUGGAGUGCAGUGGCACGAUCUCCGCUCACUGCAACCUCCGCCUCCCAGGUUCAAGUGAUUCGCCUCCCUUAGCCUCUCAAGUGGCUGGGACUACAGGCGCCAGCCACCAUGCCUGGCUAAUUUUAUUUUGUAUUUUUAGUAGAGAUGGGGUUUCACUAUGUUGGCCAGGCUGGUCUUGAACUCCUCACCUCAUGAUCUGCCUGCCUUGGCCUCCCAAAGUGCUGGGAUUACAGGCAUGAGCCACCACACCCAGCCGGAUUAUUAUUUUUUAUUAUUUAUUUAUUUAUUUAUUUUUAUUUUCAUUUUCGAGACAGUCUUCUCUGUCACCCAGGCUAGAAUGCAGUGGCGUGAUCUCGGCUCACUGCAACCUCCACCUCCCGGGUUCAAGCGAUUCUCCUGCCUCAGCCUCCCAAGUAGCUGGGAUUACAGGCGCCCACUACUGUGCCCGGCUAAUUUUUGUAUUUUUAGCAGAGACGGGGUUUCACCAUCUUGGCCAGGCUGGUCUUGAACUCCUGACCUCAUGAUCCACCUGCCUUGGCCUCCAAAAGUGCUGGGAUUACAGGCGUGAGCCACAACACCUGACCUAUUUUUUAUUUUUUUAUUUUUAUUUUAUUUUUUGAGGUGGAGUCUCACUCUUUCGCCCAGUCUGGAGUGUAAUGGCACGGUCUCGGCUCACUGCCACCUGCCUCCCAGGAUCAAGUGAUUCUCCUACCUCAGCCUCCCGAGUAGCUGGGACUAUGGGUGUGUGCUACCACACCUGGCUAAUUUUUGUAAUUUUAGUAGAGACAGGGUUUCACUGUUGGUCAGGCUGGUCUCAAACUCCUGACCUUGUGAUCCGCCGGCCUUGGCCUCCCAAAGUGCUGGUAUCACAGGCGUGAGCCACCGUGCCUGGCCGAGGAUUAUUUUGAAGUAGGUGCUCAGAUGAUGAGGGACCAAGGCUAACCUUAGCAAAAUAAGGCUAAGAGGAUGAACUCUUUAGAUGAAGAUGAUAUCAAACACUGAAUUGAGGCUUUCACAGUUCCCCUUGCUGCAGAUGUUAGGUACUUCUCCCCUGUGUAAUUCACAAUACAUGGCACAUAACAGGAUGAGCUGCUUUGAUGCAUUUUUGGAAUAUCAAAUACUUUCCUCAGAAGUUUUUUACUUCUUAGUGGCCUUGAGUCCCUGCUUUGACUGCUUUUUGGCAAUUUGAGCGUAAUUGAGGAUGGAUCUCACUGUUGGCAUGUUAAAUUUGAGGAGCUGGCCGAAUGCCUGAGAGGAUAUUUCCAAGUGUCUCUGGAACUCAGAGAAUCAGAGUCCAGAAAAGAGGCAAGUAACAGAGAUGCAGGUUUGGGAGCCACCAGCAGACAGGUGGAGUGGACAUCAGGCUCAGAGAGGGUUGUGUGGGGAAAUCAGGGAAAGAUGAAGAGGAUGAGGAGAGAGAAAGGCCAAGGGGUCAGAAGACUGUGAGGUCACAGGUGAUAGUUCAUAGUGAGCUGUAUAUGAACUAUGUACUUGGGCUUCCCACAAGUUUUGGAAACACAUCACAAAUCACCCAGCUCUUAGGAGGUGGAGCAGAGACUGGAACUCGAGUCUUCUGAUUCUAAAUUCUGUGUCUCUGACACUGUGUCACUUUGGGGCCCCAGGGGAUGGAAGCCAGAUGUCAGAACGCUCACAAGUAAAUGCAGGGGCAGGAAGUGUAGAUUGAGGAGGUAUUUCAUGUGGCAGAAGGUGACAAAAGAUGGGUACUGGCAAAGGAAGGCAGGAUGAAGGCUGUUUUACCCCAGAGAAACCUGAGCCAGCUCUGAGGCUGAGGAGAGGAGAGGGGUGCUGAGGGGUCAUGACAGAAGCCUCUCAGUGAGGCCUGGAGUAGGCACAGAAGUUGGGCACUCAGGAAAGGAAUUGGGUCCUAGAACAUGAGAAGGCAUCCUUUUUCUUCUGAGAUCAAGGAGAGAAAAGGAGAUACUGGAGCUUCCAGUGGAGAGGAGGGAAGUUGGAGGAGUUCUUGGUGAAAGGGCCUAAGAGUGAGGCCACACUAAGGAGGAGGCUGCAAAGACCUGUGAGGCCUGGGCUGGACUAAAAGCCUGCUGAACAGCCCCAGGGCCUGGCCAAGACUAGGGCAGAAGCAGGAUGGGCUAGAUCUGCACCUUGGAGGAGCUGGGAGUCUGGGCUGGAGGCAGCAGAUGGAAGUGGGCCUUGCCAGGGCUGGGAGAUGGUUGUGGGGGUGCCAGAUCCUGGGGACAGUAGCCUCAGAUGGCCAGCCAUGGGCAGACAAAGCUGGGCAUUCAGGAGAACCAGGCCUGGAGAAUGAGGAAGGGUUUGCACAUUGCAGGGUGGGCACGCCUUUUUUCCCUCAUUGCUUUUCCUUGUAGACUUUUUACUUGUUUAUUUUUGAGACAUGUUCUCGCUCGGUUGUCUAGGCUGGAGUGCAAUGGCGUGAUCUCUGCUCACUGCAGCCUCUGCCUCCUGGACUCAAGCAAUCCUCCCACCUCAGCUCCCAGAGUAGCUGGGAUUACAGGCAUGUGCUACCACACCCAGUUAAUUUUUAAAAUAUUUUUUGUAGAGAUGGGGUUUUGCCAUGUUGCCCAGGCUGGUCUCGAACUCCUGAGCUCAAGCAAUCUAACCGCUUUGGCCUCCCAAAGUUGGAUUACAGGCAUGAGCUCGGCCUUCCUUUUAAACUUAAAAUGUAAACUUACAGAACAGCUGCAAUAAUAGUAUUCUUCACACAGAUUCCCCAAAAUGUUAACAUCACGGUGUUUGUGUCAUUACGCUUUUCAUCUUUAUGUUUCUUCAUCUCUGUCUCUACACACACACACACACACACACACACACACACACACACACACGCUAUUUGACAUUUUUCUUUCUCCUGAACCAUUUGAGAAUAAACUGAAAUAUGAUGACCACUUACCUUUAAACACUUCAGUGUCUAUUCAAGGUCAUUCUCUCACCUAUCUAGAGCACAACAAUCAAAAUCGAGAAACCAGCACAGAUCUGACAAUGUUGUCUAAUCUGCAGACUUUAUUAUUCAGAUUUCACCAAGUGUCUUGAUUGCAUCCUCUACAGCAAAGGAGACUUUUGCAGCAUUAACUGCCACAGGCCCACCCCCAACCACCACUUCUUUUUUAAGACAGAGUCUCACUCUGUCACCCAGGCUGGAGUACAGUGGCGCUAUCUUGGCUCACUGCAACCUCUACCUCCUAGGUUCAAGCGACCCUCCUGCAUCAGCCUCCUGAGUAGCUGGGAUUACAGGUGUGUGCCACCAUGCCCGGCUAACUUUUGUAAUUUUAGUAGAGAUGGGGUUUCACCAUAUUGGCCAGGCUCGUCUCAAACUCCUGACCUCAGGUGAUCUGCCCACCUUGGCCUCGAAAAGUGUUGGGAUUACAGAUGUGAGCCACCGCGCCCAGCUACCCCACUCUCUUUAAUCUGGAGCCAUCCCUGGGUCUCUCUUUGUCUUUCACAUGAGUGACAUUUUGAAAUAUGAAGGCCGAUUAUUUUGUAGUUUGUCCCCAUUUGUGUUUGCCGGGAGUGCUUCCUGACCACAAUCUGAAAACUCCUCACGUCCUGGCUGGCUCAACUUCCCGUAGUGAGUGAGACGUUGCCUGUUGUGCCUGAUGCUGAGAAGAGGACGAGGAGAUGGUUGAAGGUCCCAGGGUCAGGGACAGGCUGGCAGGAGAGCUUGGGGAUGGUCAAAAGGGGAUUGCGAUGGAUGGAGACUGCAUAUGUGCUUCCUGGGCCCUCCUGCUUUGAGCUGCUUAGAAGCUGCAGUCUUCUUUGCCUUUCCUGCCCAUCAGGCAUUAAACUGAACUAGAGGGAACAAGACAAGAUGACAGUUAGGAGAAACUGGUGUCCAGGAUAUGCCAUCCUAGCGGGUGCUGACACUGAGAUUCCCAGGCCAGGCACCCCGUGCUGCAAAUGCUUUGCAGCUUGACACUCUGGGCCAAGUAUCCAGCUGGCUUGCUUUGAAGCCUCCAGUGAUGUUUUUUGGAUUUGUGUGGCUGAAAGGAAGUUUGUGCAUCUUGCACAGUCUAAAGAGAUUGCCUAAUUCUGGCUCUGGGCAGAAGGCCCACACCUGCCGUUUAUUCUGGGGAUUUUUGUCUUAUGUAAGGUAGAAAAUCAAUUCCUUGUGUUAGUAUUGGGUUCCAGGAAGCGGAGUUCUCAGCCUCAGGGCUUAUCAAUCAAAUCAGCUGCCCUCCAUGAUUUGUAGUUCCUCUUCUGGCACGCCCAGAGGUUGGGAAGCUGCGUUAGGCACAGUUGCUGUGCCCUGUGGAGUCUGCACUCACCUAGUGCUCCCUGGGGGCCUCAUGAGCCCCUGGAAGAUUGAUAUGUUAAAGGACUGGAGCCUUGAGGCCCUGCGUGUGGCUCACGCCUGUAAUCCCAGCACUUUGGGAGGCAGAGGCAGACGGAUCAUUUGAGGUCAGGGGUUUGAAACCAACCUGGCCAACACGGUGAAACCUCGUCUCUACUAAAAAUACAAAAAUUAGCCGGGCAUGGUGAUGGGCACCUGUAAUCCCAGCUACUUGGGAGGCUGAGGCAGGAGAAUUGCUUGAGCCCGGGAGGCAGAGGUUGCAGUGAGCAGAGAUUGUGCCGCUGCACUCCAGUCUGGAUGACAGAGUAAGACUCUGUUUCAAACAAACAAACAAACAAACAAACAAACAAAAAACUGGAGCCUUGAAACAUUCCAAACCUUCACUGCCCAGUGUUCCUGGGACAAGUUACUUCACUUCUGUGGGUCAUGCCCUCCUGGAGGGCAGGCACUUGCACCUUACAGAGCUGCCUGAGCAGUAAGGAAGGUAUUGUGUGCAGGCCACUUGUGGAUGUGUUUGGUACAUCCAUGCUCAAAUAUGUUGCUGCUGUUAUUGAUGUUAUUCAUGAAUAUGGUUGAGCUUUCUCCAUAAAUCUCCUGGCUGGCUCCAUAUUCUAUAAGACUCUACUGGUUUCAGCUAAUGUUGGGUGGAGAGAACCUGCAAAUAAAACACAGAUGUACUUGGAUGAGGGAGUUGAAACCCCCAAAUGCAAUGAUCUUCAAGGGAACAGGAUGCCUAGGAACAUAGUGGUUGGAAAGCAUAUCAGCUGGUGAUGAAUAAGCAGGUCUGAGGCAGUCAUAACCAGGGUCACUGGUGUUUGAACCCACUCAUUUAUAUCCUGAAACAAUAGGGGAAGGACUUACACACAUGGCCUUCUGUGGGGUGGCUUCUGCCCUUCAUGCCCUGUCUCUCAGCCAACAGCUGAGUAUGAGAAGCCUCCUCCUAGACUCCCAGCUGCCCCUGACCCCUGGCCAGGGCCAGCUGUUGUGCCAACAAAGCCUCCAGUCAGGGGCUCUGGUCCCAGCUGCUGUGGGGAACAGGUUUGACCUUUCCAAGCGCCCAUAGGUCACUUGUGGUCUUUCUGUGGAGACAGCCAACAGCCCAUCUGUUCUUGCUUCUCAUCUCACUCAGAAAAUCCUAGCGCUCCCCCUGCUCCACUGGAACCCCUCAUUUCCUGGGGAUUCUAUUUCUGCCUCCCCUGAACCUUCCAGAAGGGCCUUCUGGCUCAGAACCAGACCCCUGCCUGGUUACUCCGUCUGCCCUUCUGCCUGAUUAGAGCAAGGGUCUCGCACAGGCUGGACAAUGCCCAAGUCUGUGCUGAGCACAAAACAAGGCCAUGUGAUGGAGGGGCAGGGUUUCUGGAUGCUGUCAUUAAUGAUAACAGCCUGAACUAUAUCCAUGACCUUUAAAAACAUCUUUAACUGAAGGAAGUUAAAAUACAGAAAGAGGGAAGAUUAGGACAAACCUUAUGGUUGGAUUAGAUUUAGAGAUAUUGGUAGGAGCUCAUGAUUUCAUUACAUGCACACACACACACAGAGAUUGAUAUAGAAAUUUGGCUGGGCGCAGUGGCUCACGCCUGCAAUCCCAGCACUUUGGGAGGCCGAGGUGGGCAGAUGACUUGAAGUCAGGAGUUCAAGACCAGCUUGGCCAACAUGGCAAAAUCCAGUCUCUACUAAAAAUACAAAAAGAAUUAGCUGGGUGUCAUGGCGCAUGCCUGUAAUCCCAGCUACUCGGGAGGCUGAGGCAGGAGAAUUACUUGAACCCAGGAAGCAGAGGUUGCAGUGAGCUGAGAUCGCGCCACUGCACUCCAGCCUGGGCAACAGAGUGACCUGUCUCAAAAAAAAAAAUACACAUAUGCAUAUUUACACACAGAUAUGGGAGUACACACAUAAGCGAAUUCACACUCAUGCAGACAGAUAUAGAAAUACAUACAUAUGCAAAUUCAUAUGCAUACAGAUAUAGAAAUACACACGGCCACAUAGGUAUGGGUGCGUGUAUAUUUGAACACAUGUAUGUGUGCUAGAAGCAAUGAUGGCCUCGGGGGGAACAAGCACAACUGGGACCCAGAUCUUGGUUUGUUGAUACCAUGCUCUAAAAGGAACCAGAGCUCCUUGGAGAAAUGACUGAUUUUGGGUUAGAGAAGAGAAAACAUAAAUUGAGCCUGGAAUAUCUUGUGUCAGAAAGUAAGUCUUUAAAAAAAGGAGGGAUGGCCGGGUGCAGUGGCUCAUGCCUGUAAUCCCAGCACUUUGGGAGGCCAAGGCGGGCGGAUCACGAGGUCAGGAGAUCAAGACCAUCCUGGCUAAUACGGUAAAACCCCGUCUCUACUAAAAAUACAAAAAAUUAGCUGGGCAUAGUGGCGGACGCCUGUAGUCCCAGCUACUCAGGAGGCUGAGGCAGCAGAAUGGCGUGAACCCGGGAGGCGGAGCUUGCAGUGAGCCGAGAUUGUGCCACUGCACUCCAGCCUGGGCGACAGAGUGAGACUCUCUCAAAAAAACAAAACAAAACAAACAAAAAAACAAAAAAACGAGGGGACAUGUCAAAGGGACACUCUUGCUGGCUAAAUCUGUGACAAUUUAGUCUUGAAAUAAAUAAUGAUAGCAACAGGCAAAGGGACACUCCUGCUGGCUAAAUCUGGGACAAUUUAAUCAUGAAAUAAAUAAUAAUAGCAAGAGAAUAUCAGCUACUGAAUAAAAUAAGGAUUCAUGUAUACGUGCUGAUAUACAUAAAUAAAUGAGAGCAAGAAUCGUUCUUCCUUAUAAUAGAAUGCCACAUGAUAAAUAUGGGAAAAAUGAUGGAAUUUGAAACCAGUGGGUUAAAGUUUGCUGAGUAAAAAUAUAUACAUUGGCCAGGCGUGGUGGCUCACGCCUGUAAUCCCAGCACUUUGGGAAGCCGAGGUGGGUGGAUCACGAGGUCAGGAGUUUGAGACCAACCUGACCAACAUGGUGAAACCCCAUCUCUACUAAAAAUACAAAAAAAUUAGCUUGGCAUGGUGGCGCGUGCCUGUAAUCCCAGCUACUCGGGAGGCUGAGGCAGGAGAAUCGCUUGAACCUGGGAGGCAGAGGUUGCAGUGAGCUGAGAUUGUGCAACUGCACUCCAGCCUGGGCGACAGAGUGAGACUCUGUCUCAAAAAAAAAAAAAAUUACAUAGUCUCCCCAGAAGUACAUAUUAAUUACAGAAGGAAAAUUAGCAACUCUACAGUGAUAAACCUGGCAUUCACUGCCUUAUCCCAGUGAUCACAGUUAACAGCAGCAGAAAUGGGACACAUGGGCAUCAUGAACCUCCUGAUACGAUCACCAAGAAGGACAUAGCAUCACUUCUUUAGUAUUUCCACACAAAAUGCAAAACCUGAGUCUCAUCAGGAGGAAAUAGCAGACAAACUCACAUUGGGGGAAAUUCCACAAAACCACAGGCUAUGAAAUAACUACAAAAAUGUCAGUGUCAUGAAAGAGAAAAACUGAAGAAUGGUUUCAGAUUAAAGGAAAAUUAAGAGAAGUAAUGACAGUAUGUGUUUGGGCUCUUCUUUGCCAUAACAAACAUUAAGGUCUGUAAAUCAGAUAAUAACACUGUGUUAAUGUUAAUUUCCUGAUUUUGAUAAUUGUACUUUGGUUAUGUAAGGUAAUAUCUUUGUUUUUAGGAAAUACACACUGAAGUAUUUAGAAAUGAAAGAGACAUAAUUGCUGCAAUUUACACUCAUUCAGAAAAAGGCAUACACAUUCACAGAGAAUGAUAAAGCAAACGUGGGAAAGUAUUAACAGUUGGAGAAUGGUAAAGGGUGUUAAAUUAAAUAUGCUGGCUGGGUGUGGUGGCUCACACCUGUACUCCCAGCACUUUGGGAGGCCGAGGUGGGAGGACCACUUGAGCUCAGGCCAGCCUGGGCAACAGAGUGAGACCUUGUCUCCAAAAAAAUUUAAAUAAGCAGGAGGCCAUUAGCCUGAGGCUGUCUCUGUUUUUUGAAUUCCGGCAUAAUACAAUGCAACCUAACUUAGUAUAUAAAGAAACCAAAACUUAAGAGUAUGUUUUUUGUAAUAAAUAGCCAGAUUUCAGCCAAUCACAACAGCCAAGCUUCAGCAAAUGACAGGCCGCCAACUCAUCAUACCAUGCCCAAAUAAGGCAGAUGCCUGGCUGUAGCCAAUCAAGUGAUUUCUUUAUUUUUGUGUUCAGCCUAUAAAAGCUCACUGUUCACUGCCAGGCAGAGGUCCCUGAACCUCUCCUUUUUUUUUUUUUUUUUUUUUUAAGAUGGAGUCUGGCUUUGUCGCCCAGGCUGGAGUGCAGUGGCGUAAUCUUGGCUCACUGCAAGCUCCGCCUCCCAGGUUCACUCCAUUCUCCUGCCUUAGCCUCCCGAGUAGCUGCGUCUACAGGCGCCCACCACCAUGCCUGGCUAAUUUUUUGUGCUUUUAGUAGAGGCGGGGUUUCACCGUGUUAGCCAGGAUGGCCUCUAUCUCCUGACCUUGUGAUGUGCCUGCCUCGGCUUCCCAAAGUGCUGAGAUUACAGGCAUGAGCCACCUCACCCGGCCCUGAACCUCUUCUGAUUCUGAGUGCUAAUUGAUUCAGGAAUUGUUAUUUACUCAGAUAAACUGUUAAACUUGUUUCUAAAGCUUUUUUUUUUAACAAGGAUAUACAGAAAUUCUUUUUAUUUUAUUUAUUUAUUUAUAUAUUUUUUUUGAGACGGAGUCUCACUCUGUUGCCCAGGCUGGAGUGCAGUGGUGUGAUCUCGGCUCACUGCAACGUCUGCCUCCUGGGUUCAGGUGAUUCUCCCGCCUCAGUCUUCCGAGUAGCUGGGAUUACAGGCACGCGCCACCACGCCUAGCUAAUUUUUGUGUUUGUAGUAGAGACAGAGUUUUGCCAUGUUGGCCAGGCUGGUCUUGAACCCCUGAACUCAGGUGAUCCUCCAGCCUCAGCCUUCCAAAGUGUUAGGAUUAUAGGCAUGAGCCACCAUGCCCAGCCAUAUACAGAAAUUCUUUGUGCUGUUCUUGCAACUUUUCUCAAAGUCUGAAAUUAUGUAAAAAUAAAAAGUAAAAAGAAACCUUCAACUUCUUGAAAUGUUUUAAAAAUGAUUUAAAAUAAAUUUUGUUAGUGCUCUUUUUCCCAUUGUAUUCUUUUCGUUUUCACUGUCUAGUUUAGCAUGAAAUCCUUGUAAUUGGUCCCUUGCCUAUUUAGAAUCUCUAUGAAGAUCUUCUAAGGGCCUCUGAGCCAUGGUGAGUUCUCUCUGGACAGAGACACACAGCCCUCUGGUAUACUCUUAAGCAUUUACCAUGUUCUGCCUUAGGAUGCAGCUAUUUCUGAAGUCUUCUUUUCCUGCAUACUUGCAAACUCCUUAGGGUCAGGGACUAUCUCUUAUUUUUGUAUCUUCGUUGUAAACACUCACUAAAUAUUUAAUGGAAUUAAAUUGAAAAGUAGUACACAAUUUUCAACUUUCCAUUCAUUAAACAUGAAAAUGAACGCACAUUAGACAAUCAUAACUGAGUUUCAACAGAACAUCCUGAUGAUGUCACUAUGUUUCUUCUCCUAUUUAAAAAUGUGUUCUUGGCUGGGCGUGGUGGCUCACGCCUGUAAUCUCAGCACUUUGGGAGGCUGAGGUGGGCAGGUCACGAGGUCAGGAGUUCGAGACCAGCCUGGUCGACAUUGCAAAACCCCGUUUUUACUACAAAUACAAAAAUUAGCUGGGCAUGGUGGUGGGCGCCUGUAAUCCCAGCUACUCGGGAGGCUGAGGCAGGAGAAUCGCUUGAACCUGGGAGGCAGAGGUUGCAGUGAGCCAAGAUCGUGCCACUGCACUCCAGCCUGGGCAACAAAAGCAAGACUCCAUCUCAAAAAAAAUAA
rnacentral:lncRNA from 1 species